rnacentral:sRNA from 1 species
ACACAUACACACACACACACACACACACACACCACACAGAGAAUAAGCAACAUGUAAUAAAGAAAUGUCCCUUAAUGACAGUAAUAGCAAUUUUUGCUUCUACUAGUGUUACUUAAGAUCCACCUUUAUCCUACUUAGUAGAUACGUUGGCUCCAUUUCCUCUGAGGGAUGCGGGUGUGGCUGGCUGUUAAUGCAUAGAUUAAAGGCUCAUAGCUAUGAACCGUAGGUGUAGGAUUAAAACUCAGAGCCACCUGUCUCCAAACGCCAUUCUUAUGCCGUGUCUAGACAUGUGAGACUUCAUCACAAUAUGGAGAUCUGACUUGGACCCCACACUCCUAGGAGCUGUGCGCUCGCUGGAAGGGAGCCAGAGAAAUCUAGUCGAUGAAAAGAACGGAAUGAGUGACUGAUGAGAAAGGUUGCGUUAAUCCAUCAACCUUUUAUUGAUGCUGUACAAGUCUCUUCGAGGACAAGUGAUUUGGAAAGGCAUACCUCUUAUGACUUGUCAACGACUGAAGGAAAAUGGUGAGUGCGAGAGAGGAGCGUCCUUACCGAGCCAUUUCCCAAACACUCUUGGCAAAUCUCUUCUGCUCCCCACCAUCCAUCCCUGCCUGAAACCUGAAGUCCAGACGACCUAGGCCCGGCAAAUACGGUAGAGGGCAUGGCAAAAUGAAACCAACCAGGUGAGUCUGUUGAGCCCAGAACUACAGUCCUACCUGGGUUAGGGCUCGAUCGUCUGCACAUGCUUAAAGCAAAGGUUCUGCUCACCACACUGGGGUGGCUCUUUGCCCUGCCACAGCUUACAGACAUGGCUUCCUUCCACGUGACGGGGUUAAAGAAACUAGUUACAGCAAAAGCCCCGCUAACUUAGUUGAGAGACUAAGCUCCACUGUGGGAGGUGCUCGAACCUUCAUGCAAGCAUUUCUUGGCCUGUCUUAAUUAGGAAUCCCAUCAGUUUAGCAAGGCCUCUUAAGCCUAACUUGGGAUGUUUUUCCUAAAUAACUCUUCAUCCUUUGCUCUCUUCACUCAGAUAAGCAAGUUCCUUGGGCUGCGUGUGUCUAACUUCUCUUGGGUAUGUCCCAAUAGACUUGGUACCAAUUGCAAACACCUUUGAGUAAGGUUUACUUUAUCAUUUUAAUGAGUCAAAUAAAAAGUUUCUUUUAUCACAACAAGAAGUACCUACUAGUACAACCUCUGAAUUCCUGAGAAUGACCUGGAAGGAAAGGGAGGGAACCUUAGAGAGGUGGGGGGAGGUGCCAGAGGGCUCCGCCUAUGAGUCUGACAGGCAAGGUGUUAGCAGGUGCAGUGACAUUAAAAAGGCAGGCUAAUAAGGCAUAAUUGUGUAAAGAUGUUUGUGGGGAGAGGGUUUAAAGAGCACAAACUGGAAGCGUUAUGGAUUCUAUACCUCCACUCUUUGAUCUGGCUGAAAGAUCAGGGCAGUAUCAGGGACACACUGUUAUGGAUGGUUUGAAUGGAGGGCUGGACCUAAGCAGACAGCAUGGGGAUCUGGAGUACAACCGUGAAUACGCAUUCAGGAAGGAAGGGGAAAAUUUCUGAUACAAAUGACUAUUUAGCCCAUGACUCUAUCCACGCUUCUUGCAAAAGCCUUACCUUUAGUGUAAAUGGGGGGGGGGAG